AAAUAAACAAAAUUAAAUCCUCCACAAAUAUUUCUGUUUUUACAGUAUAUAUUUGAUCAUGCUUGUACUAUUUUUACAUAUUUACAUAACUUUUUACCAAACAAAAAUAAUUUAAAAAUGAUCUGUUCUUAAAUGUACUAAAGCAAAAAAAAUGAUUCUAUGCUUACAUGGAUUACUUUUAGCGGGUUAUUUUCACGAUUUUCAUUGAAUAAGAUAUACGAAAUAUUUAGGCGGUUAUUAUUUUAGCGGAUUCAAAAGUUUUAUCAAUACCUCUGCAUGUACACUUUUAAUUUGGAGGAAUUUAGAUUGGCGAUUUUGUUCUAUCCUCGAAAAAUAAGCAAAAAUUUAAACCCCACAAAAAUAACCCACUUUACGAUAUCUGUUUGAAGACUCAAGUUUAAAUUGAUAUGUCUUUCCUAAGUCUAUUUUGCAGUAUGAUGCUUAUUGUUUUAUAUUCUUAUGAUCUGUUAUAACCUACCUCUUUUAAACAUAAACAAUGAAAAUAAAUAAUAAAACUUAUAAAAACCUAUGAUGUAAGACAUACUUGAUGUCUCUUUCAUGAUGUUGGAAGAACAAUGGAAAAAGAUAUAUGGCAAAGAAGUGAUCAACUAUACAUUUGUAAUAAAAAAAAAUUAGUCUCUUUGUUUGCAAUGAUUUCACAUUUGUUGAUAUGCACACACUAAAAAAAUGGUCAAAUUCCAUUAAACUACAGUUUUAAGUUCUGAUAAUCAGACUUAUAUUUUUGGAUGACUAUUUUCUUUUUCUUUGAAUGAAAGCUUAGAGAUAGCACAAGAGCUUUCUUUAAAUAGGAGUUUUGCCUGUAAAUAUUUUCAGAAUCUGCCAAUAUAUUGGUUUCUAUUUGAUAAACUAGUUUGCUUCAAAGCAAUCUUUUGAGACAUCACUAACUAUUAAAACAGUUUGAUUCCAGUUUUCAGAUCAAGAUUUAAAGCCCGCUGAUAAAUCCAUUCAGGGUUUUUUUUUUCAAAUAUGAAGUUCUUUAAUAGCCUUUCUGCUUAGUACUUAUAUGUUGUUUACAGAAGAGAUGCACUUAAUAAAAUGAGUACCUCCACUUAUCUAUUUAUGUAUCAUGUGACAUUGAUAUUUUAUGUACUUAAUGUACUUUAAAACAAUCUGAAACUAUAUUUAUGUGCAACUCGAUUAAUUUAUGUAAGGAAAUUUUAUUCCUUUCAUGUAUGUGAAGAGAUAAUUUGAUAUAGAUACUCAGGUUUGAUGCUUGAUAUUACCAGUAAAUUGUCAUGAAAAUUUAUACCUGUAUCAUGAAUAGUAAUGAUUAUUUGUAUAAUGUAAUAAGAAUAGUGGUACAUGUAAUGGCACAUGUAUUACUGAUAAAGGUUUAAGAUUUUGAUGCUUCAUGAAUUCUAUGCAGGUCCAUAAAGGUGUAAUACACUAAAUUUGUCUAUGUAAGUUGUUGGCAUCAUAGUGUUGGGAGUUAAUUGUGAAAAUUGUUGAAUGGGAUAUGUAGAUUUUAUUAUUAUUUUCAAAUAAUGAUGAUAUGUACUGAUAAAAUAUUAAUAUUUUGUUAAAUAUUUUGUUACAUGAUAUAUUUUAUAAAUAAAUAAAAUGUCUUGCUUAAAA
rnacentral:lncRNA from 1 species